rnacentral:rRNA from 1 species
AAACUAACAAGGAUUCCCCUAGUAACUGCGAGUGAAGCGGGAAAAGCUCAAAUUUAAAAUCUGGCGGUCUCCGGCCGUCCGAGUUGUAAUUUAGAGAAGCGUUAUCCGUGCUGGACCGUGUAUAAGUCUCCUGGAAUGGAGCGUCAUAGAGGGUGAGAAUCCCGUCUUUGACACGGACUACCAGUGCAUUGUGAUGCGCUCUCGACGAGUCGAGUUGUUUGGGAAUGCAGCUCAAAAUGGGUGGUAAAUGCCAUCUAAAGCUAAAUAUUGGCGAGAGACCGAUAGCGAACAAGUACCGUGAGGGAAAGAUGAAAAGAACUUUGGAAAGAGAGUUAAACAGUACGUGAAAUUGUCGAAAGGGAAACGGUUGCAGUCAGUCGCGUCCGCCGGGGAUCAACCUUGCUUUUGCUUGGCGUAUUUCCCGGUGGAUGGGUCAGCAUCAGUUUUGACCGCAGUUGAAAGGCUGGAGGAAUGUGGCACCUUCGGGUGUGUUAUAGCCUCCUGUCAUAUGCUGCGGUUGGGACUGAGGAACUCAGCACGCCGCAAGGCCGGGAUUCGUCCACGUUCGUGCUUAGGAUGCUGGCAUAAUGUCUGUAACCGACC